AUUACCUGGACAGCGGUGACCACAUAGCUGGGUACCCAUAUCUGGCUGGCAUCCUGUGCCCGCGGGGGUCUCGGUCUACCCAUAAGUCAGCAGCGUUUGGAGUACAGUUUUUGGCGCGUUUUUUCUUGGGGGAUUUCGUCUCUAGUCGCAACGAUUGAAGGAAGUGACUGUGGCUCGUUACAUCUCACAUGGAAUUCUCUUAACAAGUGCUGUAGAACGUGAAAUACAUAGCUUGUUACCCAGCUCAGAGGUGGUGACUCCCUUGCAAAGCUUGUACUCCUCCAGGGCAGGUGCACAAGAGUAAACAAAGGAGCACAAGGGUGAACAUGGGAGCACAAGGAUAAACAAGUGAGCGCAAAGGUGAACAAGGGAGCACAAGGGUGAACAUUGGAGCGCAAAGGUGAACAAGGAAGCACAAGGGUGAACAAGGAAGCACAAGGGUGAACAUGGGUAGCGUAAGGGUAAACAUGGUAGCACAAGGAUGACAUGGGAGCACAAGGGUGAGCAAGGGAGCGCAGAGGUGAGCAAGGGAGCGCAAGGGUAAACAAGGGUGAACAAGGAAGCUCAUGGGUGAACAUUGGAGCACAAGGGUGAACGAGGGAGCGCAAGGGUUAACAAGGGAGCACAAGGGUUAACAAGGGAGCACAAGGGUAAACAAGAGAGCACAAGGGUAAACAAGAGAGCACAAGGGUAAACAAGAGAGCACAAGGGUAAACAAGAGAGCACAAGGGUAAACAAGAGAGCACAAGGGUAAAAAAGAGAGCACAAGGGUAAAAAAGAGAGCACAAGGGUAAAAAAGAGAGCACAAGGGUAAAAAAGAGAGCACAAGGGUAAAAAAGAGAGCACAAGGGUAAAAAAGAGAGCACAAGGGUAAAAAGAGAGCACAAGAAAUAAAAAAGAGAGCACAAGGGUAAAAAAGAGAGCACAAGGGUAAAAAAGAGAGCACAAGGGUAAAAAAGAGAGCACAAGGGUAAAAAAGAGAGCACAAGGGUAAAAAAGAGAGCACAAGGGUAAACAAAAGAGCACAAGGGUAAACAAGAGAGCACAAGGGUAAACAAGAGAGCACAAGGGUAAACAAGAGAGCACAAGGGUAAACAAGAGAGCACAAGAGUAAACAAGAGAGCACAAGGGUAAACAAGAGAGCACAAGGGUAAACAAGAGAGCACAAGGGUAAACAAGAGAGCACAAGGGUAAACAAGAGAGCACAAGGGUAAACAAGAGAGCACAAGGGUUAACAAGAGAGCACAAGGGUUAACAAGAGAGCACAAGGGUUAACAAGAGAGCACAAGGGUUAACAAGAGAGCACAAGGGUUAACAAGAGAGCACAAGGGUUAACAAGAGAGCACAAGGGUUAACAAGAGAGCACAAGGGUUAACAAGAGAGCACAAGGGUUAACAAGAGAGCACAAGGGUUAACAAGAGAGCACAAGAGUUAACAAGAGAGCACAAGAGUUAACAAGAGAGCACAAGAGUUAACAAUAGUGAACAAGGGAGCUCAUGGAUGAACAUGGGAGCACGAGGGUAAACAAGGGUGAACGAGGAAGCGCAAGGGUGAACGAGGGAGCACAAGGGAACUCAAGGGUAGCAUAAGGGUCAACAUGGGAGAACAAGGCCGCACUUGGGUGAACAAGGGAGCACAUGGGUAAACAUGGGAGCACAAGGGUGAACAAGGGAACACAAGGGUGCGCUCACAAAAUUCAGCGCUUGAACAUAAAACUGACGAUUUGUUUAAAAGAUUGUAAGGAGUUACUGGUGUAGAUCCUUCCAUCGCAGGGUGUGGUAGUGUGUGACAACACAGAAGGCCGUCAACUAAUGCAAAAUGUCACCUAUUGGUUUUAAGGUCCUCGUUGACUGUGUAUUGGUGAACAUAAGCAUCCAAUCUACUAUUACCUUAUCUUCUGCCUGGAAGGCCAGUGACGAAUUUCGAGACUGAAGGUCCCUCAGGUCCAUUAAUUUUCCUGUUACAAUCUAGGGAGGGCUAUCAUUGGGGCCAGCACAAAGUUGGGCUAACAAACUGCUGUGAAAAGGUGGAUGGGGCCCGGCACAGAAAAAGACAACAAUAAGUUAUCCGUUAAGACUUGAUAGUCGUAAAAGUUGGGUAAAACUUGUAACUGCCUUCGACAAAUUGCUGCAUAGGCCACUGCUGUAGUAGGCUGGGCCGCAGGAAUUGACCGGGGCUGGGGUAAAACCUGGCAGCCCCGGCUAGUGAACAGUGGCAGCUGCUCGCUAAGAUACAACCACCUUUACUCUAAUCACUAACACUAACACUAACCGUAAUCCUAAUCCUAAUUCGGUUUCGGUGGUUGAAAUUAGUAUCGAGCAUGAUAUCCAUUUGCGUUCCAGUAUUUUUUAUCUCUCGAGCCAAGGAAUGGAAUUUCAAAAAAAGACCUUCUAAAAAUACAGUACAGUACACCAGUACACCAGUACACAAGAAGUAGAGGCAGCUGUAUGGAAAUUGAGGAGCUGGGUUUCGAAUAACGACUAGUCCUGAAGAUGUAGUGCAAUCAGAAAAGCAAAAGACAUGAGAAGUGGGAGCGGCUGUUUGGAAAAUGAAGAGCUGGGCUUCGACGACUAGUCCCCAAAGUUCAGUGCAACCACUUGUUCAUGAAAUACCAUGCUCUCCCAGCAAACUGACGAUAGGUGCAAAGAAUCAAGGAUAUACUGGUGCAGAUAAUUCCAUCUUUGGGGAUAGUAGUGCAUGACAACAGAAGCUACUCACUGGGUAAAAGUUUUCAAGCAGAACUAAAGCUCUAUCGGCUAACCGACGCUUGGAGUAGUCAGGUGCCACCUAUUCCCCCUUGUUCUACAAAAUAUAGUACACCACAUAUGGGGACCUCGCCUGCAGGGGAGGGACACAAGAAAUGAAAAAGGCUGUAUGGAAAUUGAAGAGCUUGGCCUCGAAUAGCGACUAGUCCUGGAGAUGUAGUGCGAUCACUUGUUCACGAAAUGCUGAGCCAAACUGACUAUUGGUGGAAAGAAUCGUGAGGAGAUACUGCUGUGGGCCAUUCUAUUGCUGGGGGUAGUAGUGCUGGACAAUAGCCAGGUGAAUUAAGAAGGCCUCCAGCCAUCACUAAAUGCCAUCUUUUGUUUCUUGGACUUGUUUGACUAGGUAUUGCUGAAGAUAGGCUUACCAUCUAGGGCCCCCUUUGGUUAAUACAUCUACGCGUUGCAGUCUGAUUGACCAGCUUGGCCUCGACCAAGGUGAGAGUAUCCUGUCCCGAACAGAAACGUCACCAAGCGGUGGAGUACUGUACUUUGGAAAUCUCUGUUAGCUAUAAAGCAGCACACACGACUGAAAUGCAAGUGGGAGUUGAGAAAUCAGUCUCAUGGUUUGGGGCUCCACCCUAUGCGCGCGCGGUUACACUCUACUUUAAAUGUAUCUAAAUGAAAUUCAAACAGAGUUUUUAAUGUUUUGAUAUUUUAUUGUUAUUGUUUUGUGUUGUUUUCGUCCUUGUUCUUUGUCUUCUAGCAUCGCCGAUGGUUUCUUUGAAUAUUCCACAGUAUUUCUUUUGUUUUGAGAUCUGCCAGUUAUUUAUCUCAUUAUCUUGACAGAAUUUCAUUGUCAGGCGGCCCUGUGUUUUGCGUUGCGUCUUGCUAGAACCAAUUGUCAUCUCAAAAUCGCUCAUUACAUAAGAUAGUAAAUUUAAGCAAGUAACAGUUCACAUUAAAAAGCGAACAGAACCAC